GCGACAGGCUUAACACAUGCAAGUCCCUUUGCAGCACAGGUAGCAAUACCGGGUGGCGACCGGCGCACGGGUGAGUAACGCGUAUGCAACUUGCCUAUCAGAGGGGGAUAACCCGGCGAAAGUCGGACUAAUACCGCAUGAAGCAGGGAUCCCGCAUGGGAAUAUUUGCUAAAGAUUCAUCGCUGAUAGAUAGGCAUGCGUUCCAUUAGGCAGUUGGCGGGGUAACGGCCCACCAAACCGACGAUGGAUAGGGGUUCUGAGAGGAAGGUCCCCCACAUUGGUACUGAGACACGGACCAAACUCCUACGGGAGGCAGCAGUGAGGAAUAUUGGUCAAUGGCCGAGAGGCUGAACCAGCCAAGUCGCGUGAGGGAUGAAGGUUCUAUGGAUCGUAAACCUCUUUUAUAAGGGAAUAAGGUGCGGGACGUGUCCCGUUUUGUAUGUACCUUAUGAAUAAGGAUCGGCUAACUCCGUGCCAGCAGCCGCGGUAAUACGGAGGAUCCGAGCGUUAUCCGGAUUUAUUGGGUUUAAAGGGUGCGUAGGCGGCCUUUUAAGUCAGCGGUGAAAGUCUGUGGCUCAACCAUAGAAUUGCCGUUGAAACUGGGGGGCUUGAGUAUGUUUGAGGCAGGCGGAAUGCGUGGUGUAGCGGUGAAAUGCAUAGAUAUCACGCAGAACCCCGAUUGCGAAGGCAGCCUGCCAAGCCAUUACUGACGCUGAUGCACGAAAGCGUGGGGAUCAAACAGGAUUAGAUACCCUGGUAGUCCACGCAGUAAACGAUGAUCACUAGCUGUUUGCGAUACACUGUAAGCGGCACAGCGAAAGCGUUAAGUGAUCCACCUGGGGAGUACGCCGGCAACGGUGAAACUCAAAGGAAUUGACGGGGGCCCGCACAAGCGGAGGAACAUGUGGUUUAAUUCGAUGAUACGCGAGGAACCUUACCCGGGUUUGAACGCAUUCGGACCGAGGUGGAAACACCUUUUCUAGCAAUAGCCGUUUGCGAGGUGCUGCAUGGUUGUCGUCAGCUCGUGCCGUGAGGUGUCGGCUUAAGUGCCAUAACGAGCGCAACCCUUGCCACUAGUUACUAACAGGUUAGGCUGAGGACUCUGGUGGGACUGCCAGCGUAAGCUGCGAGGAAGGCGGGGAUGACGUCAAAUCAGCACGGCCCUUACAUCCGGGGCGACACACGUGUUACAAUGGCGUGGACAAAGGGAAGCCACCUGGCGACAGGGAGCGAAUCCCCAAACCACGUCUCAGUUCGGAUCGGAGUCUGCAACCCGACUCCGUGAAGCUGGAUUCGCUAGUAAUCGCGCAUCAGCCAUGGCGCGGUGAAUACGUUCCCGGGCCUUGUACACACCGCCCGUCAAGCCAGGGGAGCCGGGGGUACCAGGAGUCCGUAACCGAAAGGAUCGGCCUAGGGUAAAACUG
rnacentral:rRNA from 1 species